GAUGAACGCUAGCGGGAGGCCUAACACAUGCAAGCCGAGCGGUAUUGUUUCUUCGGAAAUGAGAGAGCGGCGUACGGGUGCGUAACACGUGUGCAACCUGCCUUUAUCUGGGGGAUAGCCUUUCGAAAGGAAGAUUAAUACUCCAUAAUAUAUUGAACGGCAUCGUUUAAUAUUGAAAGCUCCGGCGGAUAGAGAUGGGCACGCGCAAGAUUGGCUAGUUGGUGAGGUAACGGCUCACCAAGGCGAUGAUCUUUAGGGGGCCUGAGAGGGUGAUCCCCCACACGGGGACUGGGACGCGAACCAGACUCCUACGGGAGGCAGCAGUGAGGAAUAUUGGUCAAUGGGUGCAAGCCUGAACCAGCCAUCCCGCGUGAAGGACGACUGCCCUAUGGGUUGUAAACUUCUUUUGUAUAGGGAUAAACCUACCCUCGUGAGGGUAGCUGAAGGUACUAUACGAAUAAGCACCGGCUAACUCCGUGCCAGCCGCCGCGGUAAGAC
rnacentral:rRNA from 1 species